CGGGUGCUUGAGGGAGCGCUUGUGGACGUGCCCCAUGGCACUGAGCAUCCCCGGGGGGGCUCGGGGCCGAGGGGGGGAUGCCCAUCCCCAGCACACGUGGGGCCCACCCUGCCGUGGCACGGCUGCUGCGCUGGGGGGGCUGCAGCCCUCCUGACGGUUCGCUUGGAUUAAUAAGCAAAUCCAUGGAUUUGUGGGGGUUUCCACUGAGCAGCGCCGUGGGGGGAUGCACGGGGAGGAGGCCGGCGGCCGCGGCGAGACCCGCGCCGCAGGGAGCUGCCGGGCGCCGCAGUGUUACCAAUCACGGCACGGGAACGCGGCUAUCGAUUGCGGUGCAAACACCACCGUGCUGGAGCGAGACAUCCCCUCCAGAGCCGCCUCCCGUGCCGCUGCCUCCUGCUGCCAUCCCAAACCCUGCCCACCCUCCCCAGGGCGGCGGGGAUGCUCCUGCCUUAUUGCAAAGCUCAGCCCGGAGCAUCCCGUGGGGAGGGCGANNNNNNNNNNNNNNNNNNNNUUUGAGUCCCCGCUACUCCCCCACACCCCCGGGAUGCUUUUGGGGUCCUGUGGGAGCAGUUCUGCCUCCCCAGGCAGCGACUCCAUCUUGGCCCACUCCUUCUGGGCUCACGACUGAAGAGCCAGGGUGGCAGCACCGUGGGGGUCCCCCGAGGUCCUCACUGCGCUCCCAAGGGCUUCCUCCACCCGGUGCCAUUUCCAUGCUCAUUCCCUGGCUUUCCCAGCUGGCUGAUGGGGGAAGGCUUUAUCCUGUGUAAAGGCUCUCCAGGAUUACAGGUCUAGAGCCAGAGAUGGGGAGCACGUUGGUGGUCGGUGCCAGUGACACCCAGGGCUGGUGGCGAGAGCUUUGGGCACCGGAAGGUCGGGGUGCCCCGCUGGCACAGGGUGCCUGUCACAGGGUGGGGCCGGGAGUAGGGCUUUGGGUGCCCCAGAGCUGACGGUGGGCACUCUCUCUCUCUCUCUCUCUCUCUUUUUCUUUUGUCGGUGCCGGCUGGNNNNNNNN
rnacentral:lncRNA from 1 species